UUUAAGAAAACAUAAUUAAAUAAUGUGUAUAGUUUCGACCUAUAUAAAGACAUAUAUAGGUGUCUCUUAAAU
rnacentral:tRNA from 1 species